GUGCGUUAUGAUUCCGCUGAUCACUGGGUCAGUGGCAGGGUGUGACAUUUGCAAUGCGUUAUGAUUAUCAUCUGUAAAUGCAUAUUCUGGCACUAAUCUGGUCGACCUCUCACUACCUCUGCUUCG
rnacentral:precursor_RNA from 8 species